rnacentral:misc_RNA from 1 species
GUCCCCUUCUUCACUCCCUCACAGAUCUGACUGAAAUCCCGACCAUAAAACCACCUCCCUCCGCCCUCACCCCUAUCGCCGCCGCUCUCCGCCGCCAACCGCCGCUGCCAUGAAGCAGCUCCACAAACAAUCCAGCCUCAACCAGCAGAGCCAGAUCCCGAUUCACAACAGCCCCACCUACAGCACCAAACCCUCCAAACUCCCCCGCUCCUCUCUCCCCCGAUCCGCCGCCGCCUACCUCCUCCGUGAGCAGCGCCUCCUCUUCGUCCUCGUCGGCGCCCUCAUCGCCUCCACUCUCUUCCUCCUCCACCCCUACUACUACUCCUCCCUCUCCCGCCUCUCCCCCGUCGACACCCCCAUCCCCGUCUUCCGCGACCCCGCCUCCUUCGACCACCACGAAUCCUCCAUCUCAUCCUUCUCCUCCGCCGCAUCGGCCGUGGUUGCCAGUGGCGGCGGGCGGCGGGUCCCGGUGGGCCUCCGGAAGCCGCCGCUGCGGAUCGUGGUGACCGGCGGGGCGGGGUUCGCCAGCAGCUUGUCUACGAGAUGGCUCCCGACGAACCCCGCCCCGCCGG